rnacentral:tRNA from 1 species
ACGUUGGGUGGUUCAGUGGUAGAAUACUCGCCUGCCACGCGGGUGGCCCGGGUUCGAUUCCCGGCCGACGCA